GGGGAUUUAGCUCAGCGGCAUAAGCGCCUGCCUUGAAAGCAGGCAGUUGUAAGUUCGAUCCCUG
rnacentral:tRNA from 1 species